rnacentral:rRNA from 1 species
GUAGGGGGCAAGCGUUGUCCGGAUUUAUUGGGCGUAAAGAGCGUGUAGGCGGCCAGACAGGUCCGUUGUGAAAACUGGAGGCUCAACCUCCAGAGGUCGAUGGAAACCGUCUGGCUAGAGUCCGGAAGAGGAGAGUGGAAUUCCUGGUGUAGCGGUGAAAUGCGCAGAUAUCAGGAAGAACACCCGUGGCGAAAGCGGCUCUCUGGGACGGUACUGACGCUGAGACGCGAAAGCGUGGGGAGCGAACAGGAUUAGAUACCCUGGUAGUCCACGCCGUAAACGAUGGGCGCUAGGUGUGGGAGGUGUCGACUCCUCCCGUGCCGCAGUUAACGCAUUAAGCGCCCCGCCUGGGGAGUACGGCCGCAAGGCUAAA